UGGGGAAUUUUGGACAAUGGGCGAAAGCCUGAUCCAGCAAUGCCGCGUGAGUGAAGAAGGCCUUAGGGUUGUAAAGCUCUUUUAGUUGAGAAGAAAAAAUUAUAAUAAAUAAUUAUAGUUUAUGACGGUAUCAACAGAAAAAGCACCGGCUAACUACGUGCCAGCAGCCGCGGUAAUACGUAGGGUGCAAGCGUUAAUCGGAAUUACUGGGCGUAAAGGGUGCGCAGGCGGUUUUGUAAGUCAGAUGUGAAAUCCCCGGGCUUAACCUGGGAAUUGCGUUUGAAACUGCACAACUAGAGUGUGGCAGAGGGGGGUGGAAUUCCAUGUGUAGCAGUGAAAUGCGUAGAGAUAUGGAAGAACAUCGAUGGCGAAGGCAGCCCCCUGGGCUAGCACUGACGCUCAUGCACGAAAGCGUGGGGAGCAAACA
rnacentral:rRNA from 1 species